CCUGACGCAGUCUGACCUCCUCUUACCACCCGUUUUAUCCCACACAUUGAUUUAGAGAGUUAUUCUUGCUCGUCGUCUGUUUUCUUAACUCUUUAUUUACUGUUUUUGUUUGUUUGAUUGAGAUUUUGUGAAAGUGUCCCGACGGUGCGUCAGCCAGGUUAAAAAAAAACAACACACACGUCAGGGUACGGAAGCCUGAAUGAAACACCUGGGUGACCGUUCGAGUGGACAAACCAACUGAAAGUAUAAACACAAACUUCAUAAGUGCUGCUGCUGCUCAAAUACAUUUAGUUUAAUAUCAUAGAAGACUAAGAAAACCAGCAAAUAUUCACCCCUAAAAGGCAGAAAAGCAGUGAAGCAUCGAGUCACCUGCUCAUCUGUGUCGCGCUGUUUGCCAUCUAACAACCCUUAAAGGAAGUACAAAGUGUGUUGCAGAGAAGAGGAAAAGACUGAGGAGGGAAAUGUUUUUUAUUAAAAUAAAAUAUAGCCACAGCUACACCUACUGGCAAAAGUUCUUUUAAAACUACUUUUCAAGUCUCCUAUUCAGGAAGUUGGGAGCGUUGUCUGAACAUGGCUGUCCUCAAACACGGUUUCCUUACUGGAUGCUUAUAAAACAAGUCAAACUUGUCUCGCAGACACUCUGCAGUCACACCGGGAGGCUGAGCAGCAAACGGCUUCCUUAGGACUGAGAUAAGUGAAACCAGCCAGGCACCAGUGUGCAUGUUUAGCUGAAGUGUGACACAUCUUCACAAAAAUAGAAAAUCACUGCAGUGAGGGAACUUGCUGUCUUCUUCGUUGGUGGAACAAGUUGAACCACAGCAGCGCCUGCAGACGGAAAGAAAAACACUCACAUCCAAAGCAGCUGCCCUCAAAAACCCCAAAUGUAUGCGAUAUAAAAAACAGAUCAAUAAAUCCAGAGAGAAUGCAGCUGAACGGUAGAUAUGUGUCUAAAUGUGUUAAUACAACGUGUGGUCAGAAUCAAAAUGAAGUGAAAUGCAAAUGCUGUUGGUCAGCUACUGUUUCAUAAAUGUACCAGAAAGAAAGAACUGAGCUAAAGAGUAAAGUGACUGUGUGUUCAAACAGGCUGGUGGAGAAUCUAAAAUCUGCUGCCUAACGUUAGUAAAGCUCUGAAUGUCUGAGGUUCGCUGUCCUGUGGGGAUUUUGUGGGAAAUAAAUCACUUCAGUAUCGGUGA